UACGAAGGGGGCGAGCGUUGUUCGGAGUUACUGGGCGUAAAGCGUGCGCAGGCGGCGCGUUAAGACAGGUGUGAAAGCCCCGAGCUUAACUUGGGAAUUGCGCUUGUGACUGGCGGGCUGGAGUGUGGCAGAGGGAGGUGGAAUUCCACGUGUAGCAGUGAAAUGCGUAGAGAUGUGGAGGAACACCGAUGGCGAAGGCAGCCUCCUGGGCCAGCACUGACGCUCAUGCACGAAAGCGUGGGGAGCAAACAGG
rnacentral:rRNA from 1 species